rnacentral:lncRNA from 1 species
UUUUUUUUUUUUUUUGUAUAGACAUUUGUGUGUUGAUCUUGUAUCUUGUAACAUUACUGAAUUUAUUAGCUCUCAAGUUUUGUUGUGUGUGUGUGUAUGAAUUCUUUAGAAUUUUUAAUAUAUAGGAUCAUGUCAGCUACAGUCUUACUUCUUCCUAAUUGAGAUUCCUUUUAUUUCUUUUUCUUGCCUAACUGCUCUUGCUAGAACUUCUGGUGCAAUGUUGACUAGCAGUGGUUAAGAGGGCUUUUUCCUGAUCUUAAAGAGAUAGUUUUCAAUCUUUCACCAUUUAGUAUGUUGUUAACUGUGGGUUUUUCACGAAUGCCUUUCAAUAGUUUGAGGAAAUUCCAUUUCUCCCUAGUUUGUGGAAUGUUUUUUUAACAUGAAAGGGUGUUGGAUUUUGUCAAAUUAUUUUUCUUAUCAAUUGAGAUGAUCAUGUUGUUCAUAUCUCCCUUCAUUCUUCUUAUAAUAAAGAGCUUUGUUUUCAAGUCAUUGUCCUAGUUUCUUCUAGCUGUUGAUUCCUUCAUGCUACUAAUGUGAUAUAUUACAUUGAUUGAUUUUCAUAUGGUGAAACAUCCUUGUAUUCCUACAAUAAAUAUUACUUUGUCAUAGUGUAUACUCUUUGUCUGGCUUGGUAUCAAAGUAAUGCUAGUCUUAUUGAAUAAAUUAGGAAGUGUUCCUCCUAUUUUUUUUUUUUUGGACGAGUUUAAGAGGAAUUGCUGUUAACUUCUCUUUAAAUGUUUGGUAGAAUUCACUAGUGAAUCCACCUGCUGCUGUACCUUCUUUGUUGGGAGAUUUUGAUUAUUGAUUCAAUCACUUUACUUGUUUUAGGUCUGUUCAGACUUUUUAUUUCUUUUUGAGUCAGUUUUGGUAUUUUGUGUUUCUAGGAAUUUGCCCAUUUCAUCUAGGUUAUCUAAUUUUUUUGGCAAUAAAGCCUUUUUGAUAAGUAAAUUUGUUUAUGGUUCAGUCAUCCAAAAUGCCAUGCAAUUUAUCUAAUAUUUAUAAAAUGUGAAGUAUAUACACGUUUUCUUACAUUUACCUUUCUAAAGCAAAUUGUAUGUAAAAUUCCAUGAGAUUUAAACAAAAUUUCCCCACGAGGCUAAAGAACCAAAAUUUUCUGAGAGGAGUAUGACCAGUAUAAAUUUUACUUCUAAAAAGCAUAAACUUUUUUCAUUUUCUUUUUGUUAAAAUAAAUGAUUGUUCAUUUAUUAAAAUGAAACCUCUCUUUUUCUACCUAGAGAAAGAAAUGAGUAUGGACUCUCAUGCAGAGUGCCUGCAUUCAAAUUCCUGUCCUACCACUUACUUGCUAUUUGUGAGCAUAGGGUAACUUCUCUGUGCCUCGGUCUCCUCACCUGUAAGAAUGAGAAUAAUAAUAGAACCUACCUCAUAAGGCUGUUGUGAUGGUUAAGUGCAUUAAUGCGUGCAAAAAACUUAGUUCUUAAUUCAUAAUAAGCAUUCAGUAUUAACAAACAUUAUUUUUAUAAGGUAUCAGUAAUUGAGGUUAAAAUAAAGAACAUCUAGACAUAAUCAUCAAUGAAAAAGCAAGUAAAAGGCAGCAAUGUUGGAUGAUGGGUACAAAAAAGAGUCAUAUUUUCCUCUAGAUUUAUAAGACCCCAGACUAGGAGAAGAAUGAAUGUUUUGGCAAGUGUUCUGUCACUAGAAAAGAAAUGGUUCUCUUAAUUGGUAUUCAGGAAAGCAGGUCCUCUUGACUAUAGUUGACCUUUGAGCAACAUGGGUUUGAAUGGUACGGGUCCACUUAUAUGAGGAUUUUUUUGAUCAAUAUAGUACUGUACAUGUAUUUUUCUCUUCCUUAUGAUUUUUUAUAUAACAUUUUCUUUUCUGUAGCAUUCUUUAAGAAUACAGUAUAUAAUACAUGCAAUAUACAAAAUGUGUGUUAGCCAUCCGUUUGUAUUAUUAAGGCUUCUUGGUCAACGGUAAGCUAUCAGUAGUUAAGUUUUGAGGGAGUCAAAGUUGUAUGCAGAUUUUUUGCUGUGCAGGGAGUUGGCACCCCUAAACCCUGUGUUGUUCAAGGGUCAACUGUACAAAACUGUUUUUUUUAAAAAGGCUCUCUCUCAGGGUAGAAAAAUCAAAGGCACUAUUCAUGAAUCCCAUAAAGGAAAGGAAGGUCCUCAGAGAGGAGAAUCAGUUCUUUUAAAAUGAGUCUGGCCUCCACCAUGGGCCACAGGUAAUCAGAGAGUGGAUGGUGAGUGUUCAAAGGAAUAAUCACAACUAUAAGUACUUCCUUUCA